GUCUGGUAGGUGUUGCAGCUGAAGUUCUUGUUGCUGAGGCAGGUUAGGAACCCUCUGGAGAUGCUGGAGAGGAGUGGUUUCAGUUUCACCUCCAUCCACACCUUUAUCAGGUCCUCAUCUUGGUAGGCUUCUGUCUCUGGGUUCACACUGAUACCCAGCUCUAGUUUGAACACUGGGGUCUGGGAUAGACUGGAUCUCUGCAGAGGGGGAGACAGGGGUUAAAGUUCACACUGAUACCCAGCUCUAGUUUGAACACUGGGGUCUGGGAUAGACUGGAUCUCUGGAGAGGGGGAGACAGGGGUUAAGGUUCACACUAAUACCCAGCUCUAGUCUGAACACUGGGGUCUGGGAUAGACUGGAUCUCUGGAGAGGGGGAGACAGGGGUUAAGGUUCACAAUGAUACCCAGCUCUAGUCCUAACACUGGGGUCUGGGAUAGACUGGAUCUCUGGAGAGGGGGAGACAGGGGAUUAAGGUUCACAAUGAUACCCAGUUCUAGUCCGAACACUGGGGUCUGGGAUAGACUGUAUCUCUGGAGAGGGGGAGACAGGGGUUAAGUAUAUAAUAACAUGCUGGUAGACCUCAGCUUCUGUGUUGUCAGAUAUCCAGUUGUAGACCCAACAACAGGGAUAGACUGGACCUCUGGAGGGGAGGGAGAGAGACUGG
ensembl:lncRNA